UGGGGAAUUUUGCACAAUGGGGGAAACCCUGAUGCAGCGACGCCGCGUGAUUUAGAAGGCCUUCGGGUUGUAAAAAUCUUUUCUAUGGGAAGAAAAUGACAGUACCAUAGGAAUAAGGACCGGCUAAUUACGUGCCAGCAGCCGCGGUAAUACGUAAGGUCCGAGCGUUGUCCGGAAUCAUUGGGCGUAAAGGGUACGUAGGCGGGUAAGCAAGUUAGAAGUGAAAUCCUAUAGCUCAACUAUAGUAAGCUUUUAAAACUGCUCAUCUUGAGGUAUGGAAGGGAAAGUGGAAUUCCUAGUGUAGCGGUGAAAUGCACAUAUAUUAGGAGGAAUACCGGUGGCGAAGGCGACUUUCUGGCCAUAACCUGACGCUGAGGUACGAAAGCGUGGGUAGCAAACAGG
rnacentral:rRNA from 1 species